ACGGACGAGAAGCUUGCUUCUCUGAUGUUAGCGGCGGACGGGUGAGUAACACGUGGAUAACCUACCUAUAAGACUGGGAUAACUUCGGGAAACCGGAGCUAAUACCGGAUAAUAUUUUGAACCGCAUGGUUCAAAAGUGAAAGACGGUCUUGCUGUCACUUAUAGAUGGAUCCGCGCUGCAUUAGCUAGUUGGUAAGGUAACGGCUUACCAAGGCAACGAUGCAUAGCCGACCUGAGAGGGUGAUCGGCCACACUGGAACUGAGACACGGUCCAGACUCCUACGGGAGGCAGCAGUAGGGAAUCUUCCGCAAUGGGCGAAAGCCUGACGGAGCAACGCCGCGUGAGUGAUGAAGGUCUUCGGAUCGUAAAACUCUGUUAUUAGGGAAGAACAUAUGUGUAAGUAACUGUGCACAUCUUAACGGUACCUAAUCAGAAAGCCACGGCUAACUACGUGCCAGCAGCCGCGGUAAUACGUAGGUGGCAAGCGUUAUCCGGAAUUAUUGGGCGUAAAGCGCGCGUAGGCGGUUUUUUAAGUCUGAUGUGAAAGCCCACGGCUCAACCGUGGAGGGUCAUUGGAAACUGGAAAACUUGAGUGCAGAAGAGGAAAGUGGAAUUCCAUGUGUAGCGGUGAAAUGCGCAGAGAUAUGGAGGAACACCAGUGGCGAAGGCGACUUUCUGGUCUGUAACUGACGCUGAUGUGCGAAAGCGUGGGGAUCAAAC
rnacentral:rRNA from 1 species